GGGAAACUGCCCGAUGGAGGGGGAUAACUACUGGAAACGGUAGCUAAUACCGCAUAACGUCGCAAGACCAAAGUGGGGGACCUUCGGGCCUCACACCAUCGGAUGUGCCCAGAUGGGAUUAGCUAGUAGGUGGGGUAAUGGCUCACCUAGGCGACGAUCCCUAGCUGGUCUGAGAGGAUGACCAGCCACACUGGAACUGAGACACGGUCCAGACUCCUACGGGAGGCAGCAGUGGGGAAUAUUGCACAAUGGGCGCAAGCCUGAUGCAGCCAUGCCGCGUGUAUGAAGGAGGCCUUCGGGUUGUAAAGUACUUUCAGCGGGGAGGAAGGCGGUGGAGUUAAUAGCUUCACCGAUUGACGUUACCCGCAGAAGAAGCACCGGCUAACUCCGUGCCAGCAGCCGCGGUAAUACGGAGGGUGCAAGCGUUAAUCGGAAUUACUGGGCGUAAAGCGCACGCAGGCGGUCUGUCAAGUCGGAUGUGAAAUCCCCGGGCUUAACCUGGGAACUGCAUUCGAAACUGGCAGGCUAGAGUCUUGUAGAGGGGGGUAGAAUUCCAGGU
rnacentral:rRNA from 1 species